AUGUUUUCAAAAAUAUAGUGGACAAACAUGUACCCUUAAAAUAUAAGGUGGAACAUGGAAACUUAUGAGAUAUUGUAAAUAAUUGCCAAAAAAACAUUUAAAAAAUUAAAAUUGUUAGGAGAUACCAUUAUAAACACACACUAAUAUGGUCAUUUGACUGUUUUUUGCAUAAACAAAUAAUGACAAGUGAUAAUGAUAUAUAUAUAAAUGGUACAACUAAUACAACUACUCGAG
rnacentral:lncRNA from 1 species